UACGGAGGAUCCGAGCGUUAUCCGGAUUUAUUGGGUUUAAAGGGUGCUCAGGCGGGAGAUUAAGUCGGCGGUGAAAUUUUGCAGCUCAACUGUAAAAGUGCCUUCGAAACUGGUUUCCUUGAGUGUAGAUGAAGUAGGCGGAAUUUGUGGUGUAGCGGUGAAAUGCAUAGAUACCACGAGGAACUCCGAUUGCGCAGGCAGCUUACUAAACUACUACUGACGCUCAGGCACGAAGGCGUGGGGAUCAAACAGGAUUAGAUACCCCGGUAGUCCCU
rnacentral:rRNA from 1 species